rnacentral:lncRNA from 1 species
AUGGGGGCCCCGGCACCAGUACUGCCCAUACUGGGACCAGUACGGGGAAUCUGGCACCUGCACUGGUGGUACUGGGACCAGUACGGGAGCACCAGUGCUAGUACUGCCCAUACUGGGACCAGUACGGGGGCUCUGGCCCCUGCACUGGUGGUACUGGGACCAGUACAGGAGCUCCGGCCCCUGUACUGCCUGUACUGGGACCAGUACAGGGGUCCUGGCACCAGUACUGCCUGUACUGGGACCAGUACGGGGUCCCGGCCCCUGUACUACUGGUACUGGGAACAGUACAGGGGCCCCAGCACCUGUACUGGUGGUACCGGGACCAGCACAGGAGCUCCGGCACCUGUACUGGUGGUACUGGGACCAGUACGGGAGCUCCGGCACCUGUACUGGUGGUACUGGGACCAGUAUGGGAGCUCCGGCAACAGUACUGCCUGUACUGGGAGCAGUACGGGAGCUCUGGCACCUGUACUGGUGGUACUGGGACCAGUACAGGGGCCCCAGCACCAGUACUGCCCGUACUGGGACCAGUACGGGGGCCCCGGCACCAGUACUGCCCGUACUGGGACCAGUAUGGGGGCCCCGGCACCUGUACUGCCCGUACUGGGACCAGUACGGGAGCUCCGGCACCAGUACUGCCUGUACUGGUCCCAGUGCGGGAGCUCCGGCACCAGUACUGCCCGUACUGGGACCAGUAUGGGAGCUCCAGCACCUGUACUGCCCGUACUGGGACCAGUACAGGAGCUCCGGCACCAGUACUGGUGGUACGGGGACCAGUACGGGGGCCCCGGCACCUGUACUGGUGGUACUGGGACCAGUACGGGAGCUCCGGCACCUCUACUGCCCGUACUGGGACCAGUACGGGAGCUCCGGCACCAGUACUGCCCGUACUGGGACCAGUACGGGAGCUCCGGCACCUCUACUGGUAGUACUGGGAACAGUACAGGAGCUCCGGCCCCAGUACUGCCCGUACUGGGACCAGUACGGGAGCUCCGGCACCUGUACUGGUGGUACUGGGACCAGUACGGGAGCUCCGGCACCUCUACUGCCCGUACUGGGACCAAUAUGGGAGCUCUGGCACCAGUACUGCCCGUACUGGGACCAGUACGGGAGCUCCGGCACCUCUACUGGUGGUACUGGGACCAGUACAGGAGCUCCGGCACCAGUACUGCCCGUACUGGGACCAGUACGGGGGCCCCGGCACCUGUACUGGUGGUACUGGGACCAGUACGGGAGCUCCGGCACCAGUACUGCCCGUACUGGGACCAGUACGGGGGCCCCGGCACCUGUUCUGGUGGUACUGGGACCAGUACGGGAGCUCCGGCACCUGUUCUGGUGGUACUGGGACCAGUACGGGAGCUCCGGCACUUCUACUGCCCGUACUGGGACCAGUACGGGGUCCCUGCACCUGUACUGGUGGUACUGGGACCAGUACGGGAGCUCUGGCACCAGUACUGGUGGUCCUGGGACCAGUAGGGGUCUGUGGCACCCGUUCUGGUGGUACUGGGACCAGUAUGGGGAUCUCUGGUACUGGUUGUACUGAACCGGGUCUACUGAGGCUAUGGGAUGCCCAUACUUGACCAGUACGGACCAGUAAGGGCCAGUACGGACCAGUGAGUGCCAAUAGGGACCAGUAUAAACCAGUAAGGACCAGUAUGUGGGCUGUGGCGCCGAACUGGGUGUACUGAGGCUAUGGAGUGCUUGUACUGAACCAGUAAGGACCAGUAAAAACCCAUAAUGGACAAUAGGGACCAGUGAGGCCCAGUAUGAACCAGUAAGGACCAGUACGGGGAUUUCUGGUACUGGUAGUACCGAACUGGGUGUACUGAGGCUAUGGGAUGCUCAUACUUGACCAGUAAGGCCCAGUAUGAACCAGUAAAGGCCAAUAGGCACCAGUAAGGACCAGUAUGGGGAU